UUUAAGAGAUACUGAUUUGGUUAGUAAAGAGAAUUUGUAAUUUCUGAGGAGAGAAUGAUUUGAUUUGAUCAUCUCCGAUUCGAUGUGAUCCCGCCAACACAAAAAAAACUCUUAAUCGAUAUUUAUGAAGGGGGCGAGAUUGACUGAAGAUGCUUUGUGGUUCUUUGCGAGAUCGAAUACAGCCUUGGCUUCGCGACUAUGUUAAACUCCAAUCUCUCGCCGUCAUCCUCAUCUACGCUCAGAUUGGCUGCGCUCUGAUAGGAUCACUAGGGGCCUUAUACAAUGGAGUUCUGCUCAUAAACUUGGUGAUUGCGUUGUUUGCGCUUGUGGCAAUCGAGAGCAAUAGCCAAAGCCUCGGCCGCACCUACGCUGCUCUCCUCUUCUGCGCUCUUCUCCUCGAUAUCUCCUGGUUCAUCCUCUUCACCCAAGAGAUUUGCAGGAGCAUUUCAGCGGAGACGUAUGGGACCUUCUUUGUAUUUUCAGUGAAGCUGACCAUGGCUAUGGAGAUGGUUGGCUUCUUUGUGAGGCUCUCUUCCUCUCUCUUGUGGUUUCAGAUUUAUAGGCUUGGUGCUUCUAUUGUCGACACUUCACUCCCCCGUGAACCGGAUUCUGAUUUGCGGAACAGCUUCUUGAACCCGCCAACGCCUGCUAUAGACAGGCAGUGUUCAGGUGCUGAAGAGAUCUUGGGUGGUUCUAUCUACGACCAUGCUUACUACGCCUCUCUUUUUGAAGAGGCGGAGGCCCAAUCCAAUUUGAGUUCACCCAACGCAACACAGCUGAAUCAUUAUUCAGCUGAGAACAAUGGAUUACCAUCUGCAGCAGAAGCCUCUCAGAUUAAGUCCCCCACAUCCAGAUCAUUGCAUGUAAUUGAUGAAGAGAAAGGUUUGAAGCAACCGCCGGGGAUGUCUUCAUUAUGAGCAAAUCUCCAUUCAAGAAAGGUGGUGCUAUCUUAGCAAAUUCUAAACAAACAUGAAACAUGUGUCUACUUUGCAUUAGCUGAGGCUUAGGAUUUGAAGCACACGCCCAAGUAAGUGAGAGAGAGAUUCAUGAAAUAAUCUGCCUGUUCUUACAAAGGACAAGAAGAUUAUAUAUGUUGACGACAAAUUUUAUCAUCUUUAAUCACAAUCAUAACAUAUUCUCCGGUCAAAUCUUCGAUGACGGAGGUGUAAUGAUAACGUAGAAGACAUCAACGGUGACGUAGACGACGACGAAGGGUACAACACCAAUCACAACGCCAAUGGUAACAGUGACGUAGAUGACCGUCACACCACAGUGACGUAGAUGACAGUAGAAAUGUAAAUGAAGAUAUAUGAAAAUGAGACGUUGGCAACAUCGACGUAGACGACAACAUAGAUACAAUCAACGUCAUGUGCUUCCCUCGCCUCCACGCGUGAUACUUUGGUCUCUUCGCUGGUGUUUUCUCCGGUGUCUCCUCCACCGUUCUCCACCACCGUUAUCAGUUCUCAACCACUGUUCUCCGAUGUCUUGUGUAUUUUUGCCACCGUUCUAUGGCAUCUCCGCCACUAUUUUCCGUUCUGAUUUACAUCCCCAUGUUCUUCUUUAAAUUCCCACAGGUAACCUAAGGUGGAGAGGAGGUUAAACAAUGACAAUGAUUCUUGGUACCAUGAUUCACAUCUAUAAUGAUUCUCGUGUACAAUGAUUCUCGUAUACAAUGAAUCAUUCUCGUGUACAAUGAUUCUCGUGUACAGUGAUUCACAUCUAUAAACAAUGACAAUGAUUCCCGUGUA